rnacentral:rRNA from 1 species
GAUGAACGCUGGCGGCGUGCCUAAUACAUGCAAGUCGAGCGAACAGACGAGGAGCUUGCUCCUCUGACGUUAGCGGCGGACGGGUGAGUAACACGUGGAUAACCUACCUAUAAGACUGGUAUAACUUCGGGAAACCGGAGCUAAUACCGGAUAAUAUAUUGAACCGCAUGGUUCAAUAGUGAAAGACGGUUUUGCUGGCACUUAUAGAUGGAUCCGCGCCGCAUUAGCUAGUUGGUAAGGUAACGGCUUACUAAGGCAACGAUGCGUAGCCGACCUGAGAGGGUGAUAGCCGACACUGGAAGUGAGACACGGUCAAGACUCCUACGGGAGGCAGCAGUCGGGAAUCUUACGCAAUGGGCGAAAGCUUGACGGAGCAACGCCGCGUGAGUGAUGAAGGUCUUCGGAUCGUAAAACUCUGUUAUUAGGGAAGAACAAAUGUGUACGUAACUAUGCACGUCUUGACGGUACCUAAUCAGAAAGCAACGGCUAACUACGUG